AGUCGAGCGGCAGCACGGGAAGCUUGCUUCCUGGUGGCGAGCGGCGGACGGGUGAGUAAUGCAUAGGAAUCUGCCCGGUAGUGGGGGAUAACCUGGGGAAACCCAGGCUAAUACCGCAUACGCCCUACGGGGGAAAGCAGGGGCUCUUCGGACCUUGCGCUAUCGGAUGAGCCUAUGUCGGAUUAGCUUGUUGGUGAGGUAAAGGCUCACCAAGGCCGCGAUCCGUAGCUGGACUGAGGGGAUGAUCAGCCACACUGGGACUGAGACACGGCCCAGACUCCUACGGGAGGCAGCAGUGGGGAAUAUUGGACAAUGGGGGCAACCCUGAUCCAGCAAUGCCGCGUGUGUGAAGAAGGCCUGCGGGUUGUAAAGCACUUUUAGUGGGGAAGAAAUGUUCAGGGCUAAUAUCCCUGAAUUUUGACGUUACCUACAGAAAAAGCAUCGGUUAACUCCGUGCCAGCAGCCGCGGUAAUACGGAGGGUGCGAGCGUUAAUCGGAAUUACUGGGCGUAAAGCGCGCGUAGGCGGCUUGGUAAGUCGGGUGUGAAAGCCCCGGGCUUAACCCGGGAACUGCAUUCGAUACUGCCUGGCUAGAGUAUGGUAGAGGGGUGGGUGGAAUUCCUGGUGUAGCGGUGAAAUGCGUAGAUAUCAGAGGAACAUCAGUGGCGAAAGCGGCUACCUGGACCAAUACUGACGCUGAGUGCGAAAGCGUGGGGAGCAAACAGGAUUA
rnacentral:rRNA from 1 species